GCCCCGACCUCGAACAGAAUUCAACCCUAAUACAUAACAUCCCCCCGCUUAGCAAAAAUUUGGAUAAUUUUUUUCCACAGGUUGAAUUCAGUUCAAACCAUAAUACUAUGUAAAUAUCAAUUUAUAAAAAAACAAUCUCCAGUACAAUACGACUCCAUAUGCAAAAAUCUUAUUGAAAUACGUUUCAACUCUUUGCUCUACAAUCUCACAUCUUACUCAUAUGCUCUAGUAAAAUUUGAUAACGUUAUG
rnacentral:lncRNA from 1 species